rnacentral:rRNA from 1 species
AUUGAACGCUGGCGGCAUGCCUUACACAUGCAAGUCGAACGGCAGCAUGAUCUAGCUUGCUAGAUUGAUGGCGAGUGGCGAACGGGUGAGUAAUACAUCGGAACGUGCCCUGUAGUGGGGGAUAACUAGUCGAGAGAUUAGCUAAUACCGCAUAAUGCAGCGGCACCGCAAGGUGACAGUUGUUAGAGAUUUAUCGCUUAGAGAGGAGCUUGCGGCAGAUUAGCUAGUUGGUAAGGUAAUGGCUUACCAAGGCUACGAUCUGUAACCGGUCUUAGAGGACGGUCGGUCACACUGACACUGAAUAACGGGUCAGACUCCUACGGGAGGCAGCAGUCGGGAAUUUUGGGCAAUGGGCGAAAGCCUGACCCAGCAACGCCGCGUGAAGGAUGAAGUAUUUCGGUAUGUAAACUUCGAAAGAAUGGGAAGAAUAAAUGACGGUACCAUUUAUAAGGUCCGGCUAACUACGUGCCAGCCGCCGCGGUAA